GACGAACGCUGGCGGCGUGCUUAACACAUGCAAGUCGAACGGAAAGGCCCUGCUUUUGUGGGGUGCUCGAGUGGCGAACGGGUGAGUAACACGUGAGUAACCUGCCCUUGACUUUGGGAUAACUUCAGGAAACUGGGGCUAAUACCGGAUAGGAGCUCCUGCUGCAUGGUGGGGGUUGGAAAGUUUCGGCGGUUGAGGAUGGACUCGCGGCUUAUCAGCUUGUUGGUGGGGUAGUGGCUUACCAAGGCUUUGACGGGUAGCCGGCCUGAGAGGGUGACCGGCCACAUUGGGACUGAGAUACGGCCCAGACUCCUACGGGAGGCAGCAGUGGGGAAUAUUGCACAAUGGGCGGAAGCCUGAUGCAGCAACGCCGGGUGCGGGAUGACGGCCUUCGGGUUGUAAACCGCUUUCGCCUGUGACGAAGCGUGGGUGACGGUAAUGGGUAAAGAAGCACCGGCUAACUACGU
rnacentral:rRNA from 1 species